rnacentral:rRNA from 1 species
GAAAGUUGGGGGCUCGAAGACGAUCGGAUACUGUCCUAGUCUUAACCAUAAACGAUGCCGACCAGGGAUCAGCAGAUGUUGCUUUUUAGGACUCCGCUGGCACCUUAUGAGAAAUCAAAGUUUUUGGGU